rnacentral:rRNA from 1 species
CACGUAGGGGGCAAGCGUUGUCCGGAUUUAUUGGGCGUAAAGAGCUCGUAGGUGGUUCGGUAAGUCGGGUGUGAACCUCCAGGCUCAACCUGGAGACGCCACCCGAUACUGCUGUGACUGGAGUCCGGUAGGGGAGCGUGGAAUUCCUGGUGUAGCGGUGAAAUGCGCAGAUAUCAGGAGGAACACCAGUGGCGAAGGCGGCUCACUGGUCCGGUACUGACGCUGAGGUGCGAAAGCGUGGGGAGCAAACAGG